GGAAGUAUAAGUCGUAACAAGGUUUCCGUAGGUGAACCUGCGGAAGGAUCAUUCAUAAUAAAGUGUUUUAUGGCACUUUUUAAAAAUCCAUAUCCACCUUGUGUGCAAUGUUAGAUCUCGUCAGUCUUGGCGAGAUUUUUAUACAUCAACUCAUUCUUUAACUAAUUUGUCUGAAAAAUAUUAUGAAUACUUAAUUCAAAAUACAACUUUCAACAACGGAUCUCUUGGCUCUC
rnacentral:misc_RNA from 1 species